AAUAUUGGUCAAUGGGCGGAAGCCUGAACCAGCCAUGCCGCGUGAAGGAAUAAGGCCCUAUGGGUCGUAAACUUCUUUUGUGGUGGAGCAAUAAGGGCUACGUGUAGUCCGAUGAGAAUACAUUACGAAUAAGCAUCGGCUAACUCCGUGCCAGCAGCCGCGGUAAUACGGAGGAUGCAAGCGUUAUCCGGAUUUAUUGGGUUUAAAGGGUGCGUAGGCUGUUUGUCAAGUCAGCGGUGAAAUACCGGAGCUCAACUCCGGAACUGCCGUUGAUACUGAUGAGCUGGAAUACGGAUGCCGUGGGAGGAAUGAGUAGUGUAGCGGUGAAAUGCAUAGAUAUUACUCAGAACACCGAUUGCGAAGGCAUCUCACGAAUCCGUCAUUGACGCUGAGGCACGAAAGCGUGGGGAUCAAAC
rnacentral:rRNA from 1 species